rnacentral:rRNA from 1 species
GUGUCAGCCGCCGCGGUAAUACGUAGGGGGCAAGCGUUGUCCGGAAUUACUGGGCGUAAAGGGCGUGUAGGCGGCCGAUCAAGUCAGGUGUGAAAUUCCAGGGCUCAACCCUGGGCGUGCAUUUGAAACUGGUUGGCUUGAGUGCAGGAGAGGAAAGUGGAAUUCCCAGUGUAGCGGUGAAAUGCGUAGAUAUUGGGAGGAACACCAGUGGCGAAGGCGACUUUCUGGCCUGUAACUGACGCUGAGGCGCGAAAGCUAGGGGAGCAAACAGGAUUAGAUACCCUGGUAGUCCUAGCCGUAA